UUCCUUGUUUGUUUAACGAAGGAAAUCCUUCCCUGUUCUGUUAAUUAAAUUUUGGGACAUUGAAAUGGGAUAGGAGAAAGGACUGGAUAGAAAGCAUUAUUCUAUUCAUUUAUCUCCUGGCCCUACAAAA